rnacentral:rRNA from 1 species
CCUACGGGUGGCAGCAGUGGGGAAUAUUGGACAAUGGGCGAAAGCCUGAUCCAGCCAUGCCGCGUGUGUGAAGAAGGCCUUCGGGUUGUAAAGCACUUUCAGUGGGGAAGAAAGCCUUGGGGCUAAUACCCUCGAGGAAGGACAUCACCCACAGAAGAAGCACCGGCUAACUCCGUGCCAGCAGCCGCGGUAAUACGGAGGGUGCGAGCGUUAAUCGGAAUUACUGGGCGUAAAGCGGCGGUAGGCGGUCUGAUAAGCCGGUUGUGAAAGCCCCGGGCCCAACCUGGGAACGGCAUCCGGAACUGUCAGGCUAGAGUGCAGGAGAGGAAGGUAGAAUUCCCGGUGUAGCGGUGAAAUGCGUAGAGAUCGGGAGGAAUACCAGUGGCGAAGGCGGCCUUCUGGACUGACACUGACGCUGAGGUGCGAAAGCGUGGGUAGCAAACAGGAUUAGAUACCCCAGUAGUC